GCCCCCAUCGUCUAGUGGACCAGGACGCAGGCCUUUCAAGCCUGUAACGAGGGCUCGAUUCCCUCUGGGGGUGCCA
rnacentral:tRNA from 1 species